UACGUAGGUGGCAAGCGUUGUCCGGAUUUACUGGGCGUAAAGGAUGCGUAGGCGGAUGUUUAAGUGAGAUGUGAAAUACCCGAGCUCAACUUGGGUGCUGCAUUUCAAACUGGAUAUCUAGAGUGCAGGAGAGGAAAGCGGAAUUCCUAGCGUAGCGGUGAAAUGCGUAGAGAUUAGGAAGAACACCAGUGGCGAAGGCGGCGUUCUGGACUGUAACUGACGCUGAGGCAUGAAAGCGUGGGGAGCAAACAGG
rnacentral:rRNA from 1 species